rnacentral:rRNA from 1 species
GAUGAACGCUAGCGGCAGGCUUAAUACAUGCAAGUCGAGGGACAGCACAGGUAGCAAUACUGGGUGGUAACCGGCAAACGGGUGCGGAACACGUACACAACCUUCCUUUAAGUGGGGGAUAGCCCAGAGAAAUUUGGAUUAAUACCCCGUAAUAUAGUUGAAUGGCAUCAUUUGAUUAUUAUAGCUACGGCGCUUAAUGAUGGGUGUGCGGCUGAUUAGAUAGUUGGCGGGGUAACGGCCCACCAAGUCUACGAUCAGUAGCUGAUGUGAGGGCAUGAUCAGCCACACGGGCAAUGAGACACGGGCCCGACUCCUACGGGAGGCAGCAGUAAGGAAUAUUGGUCAAUGGACGCAAGUCUGAACCAGCCAUGCCGCGUGAAGGAUUAAGGUCCUCUGGAUUGUAAACUUCUUUUAUUUGGGACGAAAAAGGGCCUUUCUAGGUCAACUGACGGUACCAGAUGAAUAAGCACCGGCUAACUCCGUGCCAGCCGCCGCGGUAAUAC